AUUCAGAUGGACGACCAAGGAUAGUCAAAAUCUCUCUGUCUAGUAAGAAUUUGACAGGGAAUAUUCCUUCAGACUUGCCAAAGUUGAAUGGCUUAGUUGAACUAUGGCUUUAUAAGAANNNNNNNNNCAAUACCUGAUUUUACUGGAUGCAGAGACUUGGAGAUCAUCCAUCUUGAGAACAAUCAGUUAACGGGUGAGCUUCCUUCCUCGUUAUUGAACCUACCAAAUUUAAGGGAACUGUAUGUGCAAAAUAAUUUGUUAUCCGGAACAGUACCAUCAGGUCUUCACAAUAAUAACUUAGUUUUGAACUACUCUGGAAACCUUAAUCUUCAUGAAGGAGACCGAAGAGGAAAGCAAAUUAUUAUUAUUAUUGGUUCAUCAGUUGGAGCUGCCAUUCUGUUCAUAGCUACAAUAGCAUCCUGUUUAGUUAUACACAGAGGAAAGAAAAGUUCUGAUCAAGAACAACUCAGGGUUUCCCCACGUGCUCA
rnacentral:misc_RNA from 1 species